rnacentral:rRNA from 1 species
UAUUUGGUAUUUAUUGCAUAGGAGAUAUACCUGUUCCCAUGUCGAACACAGAAGUCAAGUCCUUUUGCGCUGGAAGUACUUGGGGGUUGCCCCCUGGGAGAUAAAGACGAUGCCAAGUU